UCUAAUGUGGCAGACAAUUGCAAUGAAUUUAAGAUUCAUAUAUAAGUAUAUGUAUUUCUUUAGAA
rnacentral:tRNA from 1 species